rnacentral:rRNA from 1 species
UACGAAGGGUGCAAACGUUGCUCGGAAUCAUUGGGCGUAAAGCGCACGUAGGCGGCCUCAUAAGUCGGAUGUGAAAUCCCUCGGCUCAACCGAGGACGUGCAUCCGAAACUGUGAAGCUCGAGUAUGGAAGAGGGUCGCGGAAUUCCCGGUGUAGAGGUGAAAUUCGUAGAUAUCGGGAGGAACACCAGUGGCGAAGGCGGCGACCUGGGCCAAUACUGACGCUGAGGUGCGAAAGCGUGGGGAGCAAACAGGG